rnacentral:rRNA from 1 species
GAUGAACGCUGGCGGCGUGCUUAACACAUGCAAGUCGAACGGAAAGACCCUGCUUUUGUGGGUUGCUCGAGAGGGGAACGCGUGUGUGACACGUGAGUAUCCUGUCCUUGACUUUGGGAUAACAUCAGGAAAAUGGGGCUAAUACCAGAUAGGAGAUCCUGCACCAUGGAGUGGGUUGGAAAGUUUCGGCGGUUGUGGAUGGACUAGCGGCUUAUCAGCUUGUUGGUGGGGUAGUGGCUUACGCAGUGUUUGAAGGGUAGCCGGCAUGGGAGGGUGGACGGCCUCAGUGCGCCUGCGGUACGCCCCAGACGCCAAUGUUAGGCAGCAGUGGAGAGUCUGACACAACGGGGGGGAGCCUGAUGCGGCAACGCCGCGUGCGGGAAGACGUCCUUCGGGUUGAAAACAGCUGUCGGCUGAAACGCAGCUUGAGUGACGGUAAUGGGUGAAGAAGCACCGGCUAACUACGUG